GCUAACCAUGCAAGUCGAACGCUCACUUUCGGGUGGGAGUGGCAGACGGGUGAGUAACACGUGGGAACGUACCCUUUGGUUCGGGACAACUCUGGGAAACUGGAGCUAAUACCGGAUACGCCCUUUUGGGGAAAGGUUUACUGCCGAAGGAUCGGCCCGCGUCUGAUUAGCUAGUUGGUGGGGUAACGGCCUACCAAGGCGACGAUCAGUAGCUGGUCUGAGAGGAUGAUCAGCCACACUGGGACUGAGACACGGCCCAGACUCCUACGGGAGGCAGCAGUGGGGAAUAUUGGACAAUGGGCGCAAGCCUGAUCCAGCCAUGCCGCGUGAGUGAUGAAGGCCUUAGGGUUGUAAAGCUCUUUUAUCCGGGACGAUAAUGACGGUACCGGAGGAAUAAGCCCCGGCUAACUUCGUGCCAGCAGCCGCGGUAAUACGAAGGGGGCUAGCGUUGCUCGGAAUCACUGGGCGUAAAGGGCGCGUAGGCGGCGUUUUAAGUCGGGGGUGAAAGCCUGUGGCUCAACCACAGAAUGGCCUUCGAUACUGGGACGCUUGAUCUGGUAGAGGUUGGUGGAACUGCGAGUGUAGAGGUGAAAUUCGUAGAUAUUCGCAAGAACACCGGUGGCGAAUGCGGCCAACUGGACCGGCACUGACGCUGAGGCGCGAAAGCGUGGGGAGCAAACCAGAUUAGAUACCCUGGUAGUCCACGCUGUAAACGAUGAAUGCUAGCUGUGGGGAUGCAUGCAUCUCAG
rnacentral:rRNA from 1 species